rnacentral:rRNA from 1 species
CCUACGGGCGGCUGCAGUGGGGAAUAUUGCACAAUGGGGGAAACGCUGAUGCAGCGACGCCGCGUGAAGGAAGAAGUAUUUCGGUAUGUAAACUUCUAUCAGCAGGGAAGAAAAUGACGGUACCUGACUAAGAAGCCACGGCUAACUACGUGCCAGCAGCAGCGGUAAUACGUAGGGGGCAAGCGUUAUCCGGAUUUACUGGGUGUAAGGGGAGCGUAGACGGCUGUGCAAGGCUGAAGUGAAAGGCGGGGGCCCAACCCCUGAACUGCUUUUGGAACUGGACGGCUGGAGUGCAGGAGAGGUAAGUGGAAUUCCUAGUGUAGCGGUGAAAUGCGUAGAUAUUAGGCGGAACACCAGUGGCGAAGGCGGCUUACUGGACUGUAACUGACGUUGAGGCUCGAAAGCGUGGGGAGCAAACAGGAUUAGAUACCCUGGUAGUC